AGCUUUACGGCAGUGCUUGUGUAUAGUGCUGCGAAGCACGACGGAACUGCACAUUAUUAUACGGUGUGCUCGAAAUCCACUCGAGAUGCAGACGUUUGUGCAGGCAGGAAACGAAUGAUUUAAUUCACGUAGCACAACACGAGAGCGCGCUCUAUGCAGUCCUUUGAUUUAAUAAAACUCUAUUUCUGCCACAGGCUUCACAGCAAUGCUUGUGUAGGGGGCUGUGAAGCUCGACGCAGCUGUAACAACAUCCCACGGUACACCCGAUUUUUACCACGUUUGUUUUAAAGGGCCCCUCACAGGCUACAUAACAAAUUUUGGUUAUACGCUGAAAGUUGUUACGUGCCCUCUAAGAAGUGUUCUACCGCAAGCAUUUUUCAAAUUGGUUCAUUAACAGCAGAGAGAGAAUUAUUAAAGUGCCGCGAACACAUGAUUUCAGGAGGCAAGCGUCGCCGCCUAUAUAAACACUCUCUCGACUUUCCCCGUUUCGCCUGUGUAAGCGAAUUUCCUUCACUGCGUUCUCCCAUACCGGAGCCGAGGGGUCGCGCGGCGGGUAUACCCUGCCGUCUUCUUUUUUUCACCGUCACCGGCACACUUCCGGUGACGGUGUCGUGCGAGCUGUUGCGCUUGUCUCGUUUCCUGUAGCGGACGAUAAUGCGCGCUCUACACGAGAACACAUGAUUAGCGGUAUAAGUCAGUGCCCCAGCACUGAGGCAAACGCGAGGGGAUGAAGGAGCAUGAUCGCAAUGCUGGAACACAGUAGACAAUGACGUAUAGUUUCGUUCUCUGCGCGCGUGCAAACGUCGGAAAAAGGAGACGAAAUGGAAAUUCAUAUUGCUACAGUGCGAAGUAAAACAAAAGCACCCAGACAUUCGGGUUGUAUUUUUCAUUAUUUCUUUAAACUUUAAUUAGUCCACUGAAGCAACGUACAGAUUCAACAAAUAACUGAUGCUGCUUUGAAUCUAAGUCACGUGUCACUCUGAAUGACAUCACAGCACAGCCUGUGCUCCUACGCAGCAGCAAAGUUAUGGGCAUUCAUCUGCUUGCUGCUGCGAUAACAUUAUGACACUUGAACUCAGAGUGAUUGUUCUACAAGUGAUCAACAUCAGCUAAACAAGGGAGGCCUCUGCCUGCAGCCAGUGUUUCAACAAGAGGACUAGUUGACAAAGAUGAGUUUGUCACAACGUUGGCUCCAGCCCAAAACAUUCCUUAUUCGACUUGUAUUUACAUCUUCCUGUGAAUCUGUUUGUUGCUCCAACUCCAAUACACAAAGAUGAGUGGAA